rnacentral:sRNA from 1 species
UUUUUUUUUUUUUUUUUGUUUUCUCAAGAUGAUAACGGAUCUAGCUUCGCCAUCAAUAAGUAUGAGACAAAGGAGUCCAUCUUUGAUGAAACAUCCAUUUUCCUGUUGNACAUUUUUGCAGGACAACUAGCCUGAGCACAAGAGACAUGGNGUACUAGACCUUGUGCGGAAUGUCUACUUCAAAACUUGCAUCUUUAUAUCUGAUAUAUAGAGAUAUAGAGAUAUAGAGAUAUAGAGAGAGGCUGAUGAUUUAUAAACACAAACGAUAAGACUUGUAACAUGAAGUUUAUCGAAAAAGUCAAUCUUUAAAUUCCUUUCUGAACCUCUCUGUUAUGUCAGUGCUUCGGUACCAUGCUUUUAGUGCGGUCAUUUAAAGGCAUAGCGAUGAUAGUUCUAAAGUUACUGUAUUGAUCAAUUGGAAGAACAUCCAAAUAAAAAAAGGCAUGCNAAAUGCUAGUAUUAUCAGUAACUGCGAAUAAAAAAAGAUAACNCAAAUUUACAGGAUCCUCNAGAAAAGUAGGAUACUGAUAAUAUUGAGAUCCCCCAGCACUCAACAACAGGCUUGGGAUUUAUUUAGCCCAUUUUGCUUAACUUACUGGNCUCAAACAA